rnacentral:lncRNA from 1 species
CCUUCAUUUCUAAAGUAUGAAGAAAUAGUAGACAUGUAGCUGCCUUUGGCGAUCAGAUUCACUUACUACCAAUCAAUGUAAAUGCUUUGGCUAUUAAUAGUGUGAAUAUCCCUUCUGUGCAGAAAUUUCCUCUCACCUAAGCUGAUCCUAAGUGUCUGUGUAAGGUGCUUGUCCUUUGUAAAGCUGGUAAUUUUUUCCCAAAGGCUAAGAAGACUUCAUUUUUCUACUUCGGUUUACCUUCUUUCAGUGGUAGCUUUUGUGGCUAGCUUCUUAUCUUGGUCAAAAGCCAACACUGUUUCAAAAAUCGGAUGGAAUUGCUUUGCGCUACUAGUCGUCUAUAAGUAAAAAGGUCUCCGUCUUCCUUUGCAUCUCACUAUACAUAUAUGUAGGAAGUCAAUGGGAAUGGGUUCCAACCUAAUAAGGGGGUUUCAUUACUAGAAGAGGAAUUGAUC